rnacentral:rRNA from 1 species
UACGUAGGGGGCAAGCGUUGUUCGGAAUUACUGGGCGUAAAGGGCGCGUAGGCGGCCUUCUAAGUCGAACGUGAAAUCCCCGGGCUCAACCCGGGAACUGCGUCCGAGACUGGGAGGCUUGAAUCCGGGAGAGGGAUGUGGAAUUCCAGGUGUAGCGGUGAAAUGCGUAGAUAUCUGGAGGAACAUCGGUGGCGAAGGCGGCAUCCUGGACCGGUAUUGACGCUGAGGCGCGAAAGCUAGGGUAGCAAACGGG